GCUGUGAUGUCUGAGUGGUUAAGGCAUUGGACUCAAAAUCCAAUGGGGUUUGCCCAGGGAGGUUCAAAUCCUGCUCACAGCA
rnacentral:tRNA from 1 species